rnacentral:lncRNA from 1 species
UAAGAAGAACUACUAAAGCCAGGAAUGGUGGCAGAUGCCUGUAAUCCCAGUGACAUGGGAGGCUGACGCAGCAGAAUUGCAAGUUCAAAGCCAGCCUCUGCAACCAACCAAAUUGUUACUAGUGACUUAAUCAAAAUAAUCUGGGUGUCUCUCAGGAUCCGACCUAGGUGUCCCUCAAUAGAUGAAUGGAUAAAGAAAACGUAGUAUAUAUACUCAAUGGAAUAUUACUCAACUUUAAAGAAGAAUGAAAUUAUGGCAUUUGCCAGUAAACGGUUGGAGUUGGAGAAUUAUCAUGCUUAGCGAAAUAAGCCAGUCCCACAAAACCAAAGGCCAAAUAUUUUCUCUAAUAUGAGAAUGCUAAUUCACAAUAAGGUGGGGGGCACUAGGGAAGAAUAGUGUUACCUUAGAUUAGGAAGAGGGAAGUGAUGGGAGAGGGGGAGUUGGGGAUAGGAAAGAUAGUAGAAUGAAACAGACAUUAUUACUCUCUCUAUAUAUGUGACUACAUGACCAAUGAUUCUCAACAUAUACACUCAGAAAAAUGAGAAAUUAUAUCCCAGCUAUGUAUAUCAAAGUGCAUAAAUGCAUUUUACUGUCAUGUAAAACUAAUUAAAACAUAAAAAAUUUAAAAAGUAAUCUGGGGACUACUGGCUAGAAAUCUGGGAGAAAAAAAAAGUGGACCCCUCUUUAUUGUAGUAGGCAGAAUUUGAAAUGUUCCUUAAGAUCUUUGUUCAGUGUUACUCUUAUGAUUGUGUUAUGUGUUUUAUGUGGCCAAACUGACCUCAAGUGGAGAGAUUAUCCUGGCUUAUUUGUAUGUUUCAGUGAAAUCACAUAAACCCUCAGACAAAAGAGUAGUAGCAGAAGUCAAUUCAGAGUUUAGAAGCUGCAGGAGAUGCUCUAAUGUGGAUGUUGAAGGAGAAACUACCAUAUGUGGAAAGGGCCAUGUGACCGGGAAUGAGGGUGAGAAGAGCCCGUCUCCUGACAAACAGGAAAUGGGGACCUCUGAGGUUUGCAAAGAGCUGAAUUCUUCCAAGACUGUGAGUGAACUUGGAAAAUAGAUUCUCCCAAAUGCAUCCUUGAUGUUCCCUUGAUUUUAAAUUAGUGAAAUCCUGAGCAAAUGUUUUAGUCCAGACUGAACCCUGAGUUCUGUUAAGCUGUCCUGGACUUCUGACUCAGAAAACUGAGAUAUAAUAAGUUUGAAUUGUUUAAAGCUGCUAAUUUUGAUAGCAACAAUUUUUUUUUCAAGAUUUAAUGUACAUUUAUUCUUAACAUGUGGAACAUAUAGUAUAAAGAUUUCAUACUGAAUAAAUGAUAUUCAUUAAGCCAAAAAAAGGAAAAAAAGGAGGAAUUUACAUCAAGUUUUAGCUACAUUGUUGAAAUACAAAUAUGCAGAUUUUAUCACUGAAAAAAUCUCAAUUGUGUUUCUUCAUCAGGAAUUUCAACUGAACCUAGAACUUUUUCACACCUCAAUUAGAAAGAAAACAAAACAAAACAAAAACCCAGAAAAAAAAUAAACUAUAAGUUGAUUGGCUGCUGAGACAGCAAGGACUUUUUACAGAGACCUGUACAGCAUCACACCAAGAGGGGCGAUGUCUGGCAAGAGAUUUAAUAGCUGUGUCUCGAUUUGUGCAGGUCACCAACUUGUUAACUCGUCAUACUAUAAAGGGGUAGCUGGGAGAGGGACCAAACUGUGGGGAUCCAAGGGUAUGUGCAAUGUACAACGUCAUAUAUAUACACACGUGGCAGCGCAGUCGCUGCAGCUAAAGGUUAAAACCAGUUCUAAGAGGUGAUCUCAGGGAUAGCAACAAUUUUGAUAGCAACAACUCAAGACUAAUAAAAUCCAUUAUGCCAAAAUAAAUUCCAUAUGGAUUGAUGAUGAAUAUGAAUAUGAAGAUUAAAACUUUCUUCAACAAAUUAUAAUAAAUAAAAUAUAAGUCAAAAUACAAAAAAUCUGGGUGAAUAUUCAUAAUACAUGAGAGCCCAUUAAUCUGAUAUUUAAAGAUUUAAAUAUUUGCACAAAAAUCAACCAUAGUUUUAUAGUCUUAAUCUCACCAAUAAAAAAGGGACUGAAAUUGAAACUAUGCAAGUUAUCACCUUUUCACUUAUAUUAACAAACAUCAAAUAAUUUUUUAAUAUUAAGGACUAUGUACUUCAUUUAAUAUUGUUGGUGAUAUAAAUCAUUUACUCCUUGAAGAGCAAUUUAAUAAUACCUAUCAAAAUUUAAAAUGCACAUACCUGUAGCAACUCCACUUUUUCAAAUUUAUCCCAAAGAUACAACUCAUAAAUAUAAACAUCUAUACAGACCCACUAUCACUUAUCCAAAACUCUUAGUAUUUUUGAAAGAUAUGUUGAUGCAUACAACUGAGUAUAUCUUGUAACAAUUCUAGUAGGAGUUGGGGGUAACAGCCUAUAAUCAAACUUAGUUAUAUAUUGGUGAAAAAAUACACAAAUUCACAUUAAGUAGUAUAAAUAAAUAUUAUAAAUAGCCUAACAUCUGCUCAGCUACAGUUUAGCUGCCAAAUGAGCAUGCCAAAUGAAAAUACUUUCAGUUUUGUAAGUUGUUUGGGCCUUGGAAUCACAGAUAAAAGAUGUUAAAAUUGAACAAGAUUACCUACUGUAAGCAGAGUUUUGUUGUUGAUGUUGUUGUUGUUUUUGUUUUUCCUGUAACAGUAAAUGAGUAGAAAGAACUUAAACUUUUUAUCCCAGCCUCUAGGUACAGAAUAAAUAAUGGAAUCAUAUUCACAAAAUGUAUUAAAAGUAAUAAAAGUAUUAAAAAGUGUGAGAAAAGGCUGAGAUAGGUAUAUGUGGAUUGUGGAUUGAGUGAAUAAAAC